rnacentral:lncRNA from 1 species
UUUUACUCAACCCCAAAAACCCAAAUCCCUAACUCCACGAGCACAUUUCUUCUUCUCCAAACAAACACCCGAAUCCAACUCCUAUUUCAGCCCAACUCCAUGUGAGUGAGCACCAAAUCCCUAACACACGCGUCCCUCCAUCUCUCGCCUUACCGUUCUAACGGUUUCUGACGCCAAUAUUCCCCUUUUCUCUCACUCGGUCGAUUUUGAGACUUAUCUCACGAUUGGAAAGUUCUGAGAAGGAUUUGCUGGAUGAGUGUAAGGCGUUAGAUUGAUCUCAUUCAAUCCGAGCCCCGCAUUCAUUAAGGAUUCGUUUUCAAAUUGGGUCAGUUCCGAUUUUGAGAUGAAGAAAAAAGAAAUUUGAGUUGGAGAGAUUUUCGGAAAGGAACUUGAGAGAUUAUUUUCAGUUUAUUUCGUCCUUAUAUUUGUGAUACUGGAACACGAAAAUGACUGAGGGUGCUGUUAUUUCAUUUUUCUUGUCGAUUAUUGUUUAGAGUUUUUGUCUUUAAGACCUCUAGAGAUCACCUUUUCAUUAUAAUUCUUGAUUUUUGGGUUAAAAGGAAGUCAUUUGAAGUCGAAUCAGUUGCUGCUCGAGGACUGUUGUUUAGCUACUGGUUAUUCUCUUUUGGUCAAUUUCAAUGUUGUGACGAAUUCAGUUUAACUCCAGGUUUAUUUCACUUAUUCAUCUUAGUUCCCGUUGUAAGUCGAUCUCUGAAUGAGCUAUAAAAUGGAUUGAAGUUUCAAAAAAUGAGUGAGAAUUCUGUAGUUGUCCUAAGCUCAUCUCGCUGCUCUGUUUUUUUUCUCUUGUUUGAAUUAGCUUCUUCUCUGAUUUCAUAUGUGUAUUAGGGAGUGUUUGUAUGGUCUUAUAGUCUCAGAAUCUAUCGAAACAUGUGAUUUAUGUGUUCGUCUGCCUCGUCUAUCACUGUUCGAUCAUAGUUUGGUUUGAAAAAUGUUUGAGAAUUGGUUCCUAAAUCUGAAUUUUAAUUUUGCUUGGUGUUCUAUUAUCAUGCUGUCGGAGUUGAUUUGUUAUUGCUAGUUG